rnacentral:ribozyme from 1 species
AAUAAAAAAAGAAAAAAAAAAAAAAAAAGAAAAAAGAUAGAAUAACUUGUCCUCUUCACACACAAGAACGGUCUGUCUCCUCUCAUUCGUCUGAUUCUUCUUCCGAUUCUUCUU